CCCCUAUGACGCUGGCGGCAGGCUAACACUGCAGGUCAAACGGUAACAGGAUGUGCUUGCACAUCGCUGACGAGUGGCGGACGGGUGAGUAAUGCUUAGGGAUCUGCCUCUGUGUGGGGGAUAACUAUUGGAAACGAUAGCUAAUACCGCAUAAUGUUUACGGACCAAAGGGGGCGUUUGCUCCCGCGCAGAGAGGAACCUAAGUGAGAUUACGCUAGUUGGUAAAGGUAAUGGCUUACCAAUGGCGACGAUCUCUAGCUGUUCUGAGAGAGAAGAUCAAGCCACACUGGGACUGAGACACGGCCCAGACUCCUACGGGAGGCAGCAGUGGGGAACUAUUCGCCCAAUGGGGGGAACCCUGAUGCAAGCCAUGCCGCGUGUGUGAAGAAAGGCCUUCGGAGUUGUACAAGCACUUUCAGUUGUGAGGAAAGAGUUAGUAGUUACUACCUUGACUAGCAUUGUGACAGUUACGCAACCAGAAGAAAGCACACGGGAUAACUCCGUAGC
rnacentral:rRNA from 1 species